rnacentral:rRNA from 1 species
GCGUCCAAAGGAAGCGUCUCCGGCGGGGGAUGGGCAUGUGGCGCAUUAGCUAGUUGGCGGGGUAUUGGCCCACCGAGGCGAUGAUACGUAGGCGUUCUGAGAGGAAGGUCCCCCACAGUGAUAUUGAGACACGGCCCAGACUCUUACGCGAGGCAGCAGUUAGGAAUAUUGGUCACUGGGCGGGAGCUUGAACCAUCCAAGUAGCCUGAGGGAAGACGGUCCUACGGAUUGUAAACGUUUUUUGCCGGGGAGCACAUGGGGUCCUAGCGAGGACCCGAUGAGAGUGUCCCGGAGAAAGAAGCAUCAGGCUAACUCCGUGCCAGCACACCGCGGUGCUAUAUGGGAUGAGAGUGCCAGCGUGUAUUCGGAGUAUAUAUUGGGUUUAAAAGAGGGUGAGUAGACGGGCGUAUUAAGUCAGCGAUCAAUAUGUCGGGGCUCUACCCCCGUCACGUGCCGUUAAACUGGCGAUCUCUCGAAUGUGGAGAGAAGUCUGCCGAAAUUGUGGUGUAUACGGGUGAAAUAGCAUAUGAGUAUCACGCGAGAACUCCCAUGUGCGAAGGCGAGCCUACCGGCGCUCAACUGACGCUCAUGCAUGAAAGCGUGGGUAUCCAACCAGAUUAGAUACCCUGGUAGUCCACGCAGUAAACGAUGAAUGCUAUCUGUCCGGCCGGAAUGACGGCUGGGUGGCACAGCGAAAGCGUUAAGCAUUCCACCUGGGGAGUACGCCGGCAACGGUGAAACUCAAAGGAAUUGACGGGGGCCCGCACAAGCGGAGGAACAUGUGGUUUAAUUUGAUGAUACGCGAGGAACCUUACCCGGGCUCAAACGCCAAAGGACAGCCGCUGAAAGGCGGCCUCCCUCCGGGGUCUUUGGCGAGGUGCUGCAUGGUUGUCGUCAGCUCGUGCCGUGAGGUGUCGGAUUAAGUGCCAUAACGAGCGCAACCCCCAUC